GACGAACGCUGGCGGUGUGCUUAACACAUGCAAGUCGAACGGUAAGGCCCUUUCGGGGGUACACGAGUGGCGAACGGGUGAGUAACACGUGAGUAACCUGCCCUCAUCUCUGGGAUAACAGUCGGAAACGGUUGCUAAUACUGGAUAUGAGCUUGCAAGGCAUCUUGUGGGUUGGAAAGAUUUUUUUUGGUUGGGGAUGGACUCGCGGCCUAUCAGCUUGUUGGUGAGGUAGUGGCUCACCAAGGCUUCGACGGGUAGCCGGCCUGAGAGGGCGACCGGCCACAUUGGGCCUGAGAGACGGCCCACACUCCUGCGGGAGGCAGCAGUGGGGAAUAUUGCACAAUGGACGGAAGUCUGAUGCAGCAACGCCGCGUGCGGGAUGACGGCCUUCGGGUUGUAAACCGCUUUCAAUUGUGACGAAGCUUUUUUGUGACGGUAGCAGUAGAAGAAGCACCGGCUAACUACGUG
rnacentral:rRNA from 1 species